UACAGAGGUCUCAAGCGUUGUUCGGAUUCAUUGGGCGUAAAGGGUGCGUAGGUGGCGUCGUAAGUCGGGUGUGAAAUUUCGGAGCUUAACUCCGAAACUGCAUUCGAUACUGCGGUGCUUGAGGACUGGAGAGGAGACUGGAAUUUACGGUGUAGCAGUGAAAUGCGUAGAGAUCGUAAGGAAGACUAGUGGCGAAGGCGGGUCUCUGGACAGUUCCUGACACUGAGGCACGAAGGCCAGGGGGAGCAAACGGGG
rnacentral:rRNA from 1 species